rnacentral:rRNA from 1 species
UGGGGAAUUUUGGACAAUGGGCGCAAGCCUGAUCCAGCAAUGCCGCGUGCAGGAUGAAGGCCUUCGGGUUGUAAACUGCUUUUGUACGGAACGAAAAGCCUCUCUCUAAUACAGGGGGUGAUGACGGUACCGUAAGAAUAAGCACCGGCUAACUACGUGCCAGCAGCCGCGGUAAUACGUAGGGUGCAAGCGUUAAUCGGAAUUACUGGGCGUAAAGCGUGCGCAGGCGGUUUUGUAAGACAGUGGUGAAAUCCCCGGGCUCAACCUGGGAACUGCCAUUGUGACUGCAAGGCUGGAGUGCGGCAGAGGGGGAUGGAAUUCCGCGUGUAGCAGUGAAAUGCGUAGAUAUGCGGAGGAACACCGAUGGCGAAGGCAAUCCCCUGGGCCUGCACUGACGCUCAUGCACGAAAGCGUGGGGAGCAAACAGGAUUAGAUACCCUGGUAGUCCACGCCCUAAACGAUGUCAACUGGUUGUUGGGGAUUUAUUUCUUCAGUAACGAAGCUAACGCGUGAAGUUGACCGCCUGGGGGAAUUACGGCCNCAAGGUU